rnacentral:snRNA from 1 species
ACGCUCGCUUCGGCAGCACGUGUACUAAAAUUGGAAUGAUACAGAGAAGAUUCGCAUGGCCCCUGUGCAAGGAUGACACGCAGAUUCAUGAAGCAUUCCAUGAAUUU